ACACCAAGGACCUUUUUCUCUCUGGCAAAUUGAGGUAGUAGGUUGUAUAGUAGUACUUAUAGACCAUACUAUACAGCGUGCUAGCUUUCUUUGCUUGACUAUAAGCCGCAAAGACAUCCC
rnacentral:precursor_RNA from 15 species